rnacentral:tRNA from 1 species
GAGGCCUUAGCUUAAUUAAAGUACCUGACUUGCACUCAGGAGAUACAGGUUAAUAUCCUGUUGGUCUUA